CAGUAUCAGAAGAAAUUAAAUCGGAGAGCAUGUCCCUCAUUCUGGAAUUUCUGCCAAAGGAGAGAAGAUAACAUUUAUUUUCAGCAAAAAGUGUUGGGGUGAAGUAAAACUCACAGCAGAUCCUGGAUGCCCAAUAGGACCCUGGAUCCCAGUUGGUCCUGGGGGACCCUGUUGAAAGAGAAAGACCACGGGCUCCUGUGAAGCCUCUAAUUCCAGUAGGACCUGGAAUGCCUGGGAUGCCACUAGGUCCAGGAUCACCCUAGAAUCCCUGGGGGACCAUCAUGGCCAGAGUCACCCUGGAGGAAGAAACAUUAGUUAAAGAACAACAACCAAAAAAACACUCCUCUCCAGAUUUUGAUUACAGUUAACAUCAAGGGCUGACAAAGCAGCAGGAACAAAAACCAGCAUAACACAAAUGCAAAUAGCCUAGGAGUUUUACUAUUCAUCUACAAAGUCAGAAUGAACCAAGAAGGAAAAGGAAACAAAUUCAAGUCUGGAGAAAUUAUCUAUGGACUGAAGACAGAUGACCCAGUUUAAAGGCAAGGUUUCACCUUUUCACAACUACCAUCUGGUUCAUUUCAUUCCAGUGAAACAUGCAGUGCAAAAAGGAAUAAAAUUAAGGGUUUAAACCCCAAAUUUAA